AACUUUUAACAAUGGAUCACUUGGUUCUGGCAUCGAUGAAGAACGCAGCGAAAUGCGAUAAGUAAUGCGAAUUGCAGAAUCCGUGAGUCAUCGAAUCUUUGAACGCACAUUGCGCCCCUUGGUUAUUCCGAAGGGCAUGCCUGUUCGAGCGUCAUUAUCACCCCUCAAGCCCCGGCUUGGUGUUGGACUUAGUUAUAGCUUUGCCUAUCAACUGGUCUCAAGGAUAGUGACGGCGCCCCAGAGGGAACCGGGUACGAGGAGCUUUUUGUUAAGCAUGUGCCUGGGACGACUCUGAUGGGCGACGGUCUUGUUAUACUUUUACCUAAGUGUUGACCUCGGAUCAGGUAGGAAUACCCGCUGAACUUAAGCAUAUCAAUAAGCGGAGGCU
rnacentral:misc_RNA from 1 species